rnacentral:misc_RNA from 1 species
AAGUCGUAACAAGGUUUCCGUAGGUGAACCUGCGGAAGGAUCAUUAUUGAAUUGUUUGUUUGAAUUGGCUUAAAACCCCAAUUCAGCAAUACAUAUCCAUAACACCUGUGCACUGUUGGAUGAGCAAACUCGCAAGAGCAAGCAAGUUCACUUUUACACCAAACAAUUUGUAACAAAUGUAGUCUUAUUAUAACAAUAAUAAAACUUUCAACAACGGAUCUCUUGGUUCUC